rnacentral:rRNA from 1 species
UACGUAGGGGGCAAGCGUUGUCCGGAUUUAUUGGGCGUAAAGAGCGUGUAGGCGGCUUUACAGGUCCGUUGUGAAAACUCGAGGCUCAACCUCGAGACGCCGGUGGAAACCGUAAAGCUAGAGUCCGGAAGAGGAGAGUGGAAUUCCUGGUGUAGCGGUGAAAUGCGCAGAUAUCAGGAGGAACACCGAUUGCGAAGGCAGCUCGCUGGGACGUCACUGACGCUGAGACGCGAAAGCGUGGGGAGCAAACAGG